GAAUUCUGGAUGCUGAGAAAACCGACUAUUCGAGCUUUCUUCUGCAACCAGGAUUCAA
rnacentral:pre_miRNA from 1 species